GGAGAGAUGCCUGAGCGGUUAAAAGGGGCGGGCUGUAAACCCGUUGGCGUAUGCCUACGUAGGUUCGAAUCCUACUCUCUCCA
rnacentral:tRNA from 1 species